AAGGUACUCCCUCCGUCCCAAAAUUCUUGUCUUAGAUUUGUCUAGAUACGGAUGUAUCAAGUCACAUUUUAGUAUUAGAUACAUCCGUAUCUAGACAAAUCUAAGACAAAAAAUUUGGGACAGAGGGAGUAGUUG
rnacentral:pre_miRNA from 1 species